rnacentral:lncRNA from 1 species
UCCCCAUUCUUUAUCCAAAUUUCCCCCAUUUUCCAGCCAAAUUUCACCAUCUUUCCUCCCAAAUUUCCGCCAUUUUCCCCCCCAAAAUUCCCAUUUUUUCCCCAUUUUCCACCCAAUUUUCACCGGGUUUUUUUUAUUUUCCCCCUCCCAACCAUCCCCAGAACCCCAAAAUCCCCAUUUUUCACCCCAAAAAUCCCCAUUCUUUAUCUAAAUUUCCCCCAUUUUCCAGCCAAAUUUCACCAUCUUUCCUCCCAAAUUUCCGCCAUUUCUCCUCCUAAAAUCCCCAUUUUUUCCCCAUUUUUCACCCAAUUUUCACCGGGUUUUUUUUGCUUUUCCCCUCCCAACCAUCCCCACCUGUGCCCAAGCACCCCUAAAUUGCCCAAAAUCCCCAUUUUUCCCCCCAUUUUCACCUUCGGCCAGCUUGGCCAUCAGCUGCAGCCGCCCUGCGGCCGUGCCCAGCUCGGGCUCGUCGCCGCAGCUCCAAAUCCCCAAAUUCCCAUUUUUUCCCCAUUUUCCACCCAAUUUUCACCCGGUUUUUUUUAUUUUCCCCCUCCCAACCAUCCCCAGCAGACCCCAAACCCCCAAAAUCCCCAUUUUUCGCCCCAUUUUUCCCAUUUUCCACCCAAAUUUCACCAUUCUUUCCCCCAUCUUUCCUCCCAAAUUUCCGCCAUUUCCCCCCUAAAAUCCCCAUUUUUUCCCCAUUUUUCACCCAAUUUUCACCAGGUUUUUUUUGCUUUCCCCUCCCAACCAUCCCCAAACCCCCAAAAUCCCCAUUUUUCACCCCAAAAUCCCCAUUUUUCCCCAUUUUCCACCCAAAUUUCACCAUUGUUUCCCCCAUCUUUCCUCCCAAAUUUCCCCCAUUUUUUCCCCUAAAAUCCCCAUUUUUUCCCCAUUUUUCACCCAAUUUUCACCAUUUUUUUUUAUUUUCCCCCUCCCAACCUUCCCUAAAUUCCCCAAAAUCCCCAUUUUUCACCCCAAAAAUCCCAAUUUUUCCUCCAUUUUCCACCCAAUUUUCACCAUUCUUUCCCCCAUCUUUCCCCCCAUUUCCCCCCUAAAAUCCCCAUUUUUUCCCCAUUUUUCACCCAAUUUUCACCGGGUUUUUUUUGCUUAUCCCCCCCCCCCCAUCCCCAAACCCCCAAAAUCCCCAUUUUUCACCCCAACCCCCCCAAUUCCCCCCCCAUUUUCCACCCAAAUU